GAUGAACGCUGGCGGCGUGCCUAAUACAUGCAAGUAGAACGCUGAAGCUUGGUGCUUGCACCGAGCGGAUGAGUUGCGAACGGGUGAGUAACGCGUAGGUAACCUGCCUGGUAGCGGGGGAUAACUAUUGGAAACGAUAGCUAAUACCGCAUAACAGUCGACAUUGCAUGAUGUUGAUUUGAAAGGGGCAAUUGCUCCACUACCAGAUGGACCUGCGUUGUAUUAGCUAGUUGGUGGGGUAACGGCUCACCAAGGCGACGAUACAUAGCCGACCUGAGAGGGUGAUCGGCCACACUGGGACUGAGACACGGCCCAGACUCCUACGGGAGGCAGCAGUAGGGAAUCUUCGGCAAUGGACGGAAGUCUGACCGAGCAACGCCGCGUGAGUGAAGAAGGUUUUCGGAUCGUAAAGCUCUGUUGUAAGAGAAGAACGAGUGUGAGAGUGGAAAGUUCACACUG
rnacentral:rRNA from 1 species